rnacentral:lncRNA from 1 species
GAGCUGCCUGGAAGAGCUUUAGACCAGAGUGGCUUGGAAAGGACUCCCCAAUCUCUUGAGCUAUCUGCAGGCUGUGCGGCAUGUUCCAGGUCCCCAGCUUUUGUGAGCCUGUCACCCAUGCUAGAGUGGGCCUUGGUUGUCGUUUGAGUCAUUUCUGGACCUGUAAGUGAACCCUCACACAUAUCCCUGUGAGUAACCCCAAUAAAACUCAUUGGUUCACCAAGUUGGACUUUGGUGGGAUCUGUGUGGGAUCCCUACCUGGGGUGAGUCCAUGUGUGUUGCCACUCCCCAGGAAGAGUUUCGUCACACAACGGUAGACCCUUGGAAGGUUAUACCAGAAGAAACUGUAACUAACAUGGGUAAAAUUCCUUCCAGACCUUUAGUAUUUUGGCAUCAGUCAGAACUCAUCUGACACAUUUUACAUCCAUUAGUAGAGGCAUCCAACAGCUCUGGGUAUAGAACAGGAAACUGAUGCCUGGUGACAAUCUGUUCUUGCCCAAAGUCAAACAACAGGGCUGAGCUAGAACCCCACCACACACACCCACACACACACACUCUAAAGCAGGAACCAUUAUGUUGAUGAUGUAGAAGAAAGAACUACUUGGGUGGGACAGGCCACAGAACAAAAGUGGAAACCCCUUGAGGGAACUCCAUCCCCAGUUGAGUUCCCAGCCUCUCUGACUACUUCCUUUUUUUUUUUUUUUUUUUUUUUUUUUUUAAGGUGAACUCAAUUUAUGGUGCCCUAGGACUAGCCAUAGGUAAUGAGGAAUGGAAGACAGAAAGGCACAUCCCAGCCCUCUUUCCUGUAUUUGCCAAUACCUAUCAGAUUCUUCUGGAAUCUUGUUUGUUUAUUUAUUUGAGGGUCUUGUUAUGUAAUCCAAGCUACCCUUGAAAGCUCAAGGCCCUGCCUUAGCCUCUGGAGUGCCCUCUGGUUCUCUGACUAACUGGGGGUGUGAAGCUGUAUAUUUUAGGUUCUAAGCUGAAUUUCUUUGCUAUCAGUACCUGCUUGUCAUCUCCUAGACAAGAAAGGGGACUUCUCCUUCACCAAAGGGGAAAGAAUAGCCUAUACCUGUGAGAGAGUCCUUCUGCCAGAUGUCAGAGCAAAACUGUGACUACAUCAUCCAAGGUACUGUGGACCACUGAAAAGCAAAGCACCAGCCCCUUACCUUACAGCUAUCCACUGGAUUAUAAACCAAAGAUCUUCAUUAUAAUAUCUUCCCUUCCUCCCCUCCCCCCUCCCUCCAGCUGCCUGUGUCAAUCCCAGCUAACCCUAGGUCAGCACUCUUCAAGUCCCAGUUCUGAGGUAGAUGACACAUUCCAGACCCUUCCCUGAAAGGACUCUCUCUGGUGCUCAGGCACACAAAGCAAUGAAGCUCUCUGUUCUCAGAGCAAUGUGAGAGGCUCACCUUGCUAGAUGCAGCCUUCCCUCUGAGUUCCUGGUACUCUGCUGCAGUCUCCCAUCUAAGUCACAUGUGUCCCCAACACAUUAAGGUUUCUCACAGUUAGACCCAAUAUCUCUUCAUGAGCCACUUGAAGUGCUGGUUAGAACACAGACUCCCAGGCUACUCCUAAGCCCAGUAGCUAGACUCCUGGGGCAAUAGGGCCCAGGGUUCUGCACACUUCCCAGGUGACAUCAAGCUGUACCUGAAUGGACUCAUAUUUGCUUGAUAGAGCCACAUAGAGCACAAAUAUACACAAAUAAACACAGCUUCCUAAACAUUGUAUCCUUUUCUUAAAUCUAUUUUUUUUCUUUUUCUUUUUCUUUUUUCUCUUUUGGAUUUUCCAGACAGGGUUUCUCUGUAUAGUCCUGGCUGUUAGAACUCACUUUGUAGACCAGGCUGACCUCGAACUCAGAAAUCCACCUGCCUCUGCCUCCCGAUUGCUAGGAUUAAAGGUGUGCACCACCACGCCUGGCUUAUUUUAUUUUUAAUUAAAAUAUGAUUAUGUCAUUUCCCUCUCUUUCAUCCCUCCAAUCCCUCCCAUGCCUCCUCAAGUUAAUGGCUUCUUUAAAAAAAAUAUUAUUGCAUAGAUAAUAGAUAGAUAGAUAGAUAGAUAGAUAGAUAGAUGGAUUGAUUGAUAGUCUAACUGAAAAAGCUCAAAAGACUGCAGUGACACACUCCUUUAAUCCUACCUAGCACUUGGGAGCCAGAGGAAGGUAGAUCUUUAAGAGUUCCAGACCAGUCAAGUCUAUAGAGUGAGACCUUUUCUUCGAAGGCAAGGGAGCCAGAAUGCGGAGCCGCUGUCCUGUGGUUAGGGGUACUUACUGCUUACAAAGGACCUGGAUUUGGCUCCCAGCAACCACAAGGGAGCUCACAACCUGUAAUUCCAGAUCCAAAGGAUCUGACACCCUCUUCUGACCUCUGAGGACACUAGGAACAUACACAGUGCCCUUACAUAUGCAAACAAAGCACACCCAUAAAAUAAAAUAAUAAUUUUUUGCUGAUUUGAGACAGGAUCUAGCAGGAUCUAACUAGUCUGGAACUCACAGAGAUCCAUAUGCCUCCCUAGUGCUGGAAUUAAAAGUAAGUAUGUGUAACCACGCCCAGCCACUAAAUCUAUUUUUUUGAAGAUCCUUAGAUAAAUAUGAAAUAUUGGAUAUCCCAUCUUCUUUUAACUUCUAUUUUUGUCUUUUGUUUGUUUGUUUGUUUGUUUUGCUUUAAAAAAAUUCCGUAUGCAUUGAAGGAAUCCCUCCCAAUUUGAUUGAUGGAUCUCUCUUGGCCAGGUA